ensembl:lncRNA
CUCUCUCCCCCUCUCUCUCCCUCUCUCUCUUACUCCCGCGUGUCCGCGGUUUUUUCUCUGUGGUGAGGCAGACUGUUAUUAUACCAGCACCCCGGCAGCACGAGGCUGCGGCAACACAAGUCGCGUGCUGUUCUUGUUUAAAGGGUAAAAGGACGUAGAUAAAAACGGACGGCUAGCUGUUAUAUCCGCUCUCCUCCAUACGGAAUACGCUACUGGGUCCACCGACAGCAUCCCUUCCAUCUUUGCUGUCCCCUUGUCAUCAGUCCCUUGUUCCAUCACCCACUGUCUCCCUCCAUCUGUUCCGUCGGUCUGUAAUGCGGGACUGAGGCAGCGGCUGGGGUUCUGUGUCCAGUCUGAAGCUGGGGAAGCUAAAGGUGGUGCGGCGGCAGCUGCUGCAGAGGUAUGAGCACCAGCCAUUUGUGUCAUGUCUGGCUGGUCUGUACGGUUGUCAGUGGAGACGCUACCAGAGGGCCAAGUCCCAGCCUGGCGAGUGCUGCUGCAGCCGGGUGGAGUGUGGGAGUGUGGUCCUCCUGGUCCUGACCUUCCUCCUCUCCUCCCUGUUCCUCUACUUCUGGAGCCAGGCUCACAACGACUACAAUGACUUUGACUGGUGGGAAACACACAGAUACACAUUCGUUUUUUUUUUUAUCCUUGUGGAGACAUGAAACCUAACCCUAACCCAGAAAUCCAUGUUCCCCAUCCCC